rnacentral:rRNA from 1 species
AUUGAACGCUGGCGGCAGGCUUAACACAUGCAAGUCGAGCGGGGUGAUGGUGCUUGCACUAUCACUUAGCGGCGGACGGGUGAGUAAUGCUUAGGAAUCUGCCUAUUAGUGGGGGACAACAUCUCGAAAGGGAUGCUAAUACCGCAUACGUCCUACGGGAGAAAGCAGGGGAUCACUUGUGACCUUGCGCUAAUAGAUGAGCCUAAGUCGGAUUAGCUAGUUGGUGGGGUAAAGGCCUACCAAGGCGACGAUCUGCAGCGGGUCUGAGAGGAUGAUCCGCCAAACUGGGACUGAGACACGGCCCAGACUCCUACGGGAGGCAGCAGUGGGGAAUAUUGGACAAUGGGGGGAACCCUGAUCCAGCCAUGCCGCGUGUGUGAAGAAGGCCUUAUGGUUGUAAAGCACUUUAAGCGAGGAGGAGGCUACUUUAGUUAAUACCUAGAGAUAGUGGACGUUACUCGCAGAAUAAGCACCGGCUAACUCUGUGCCAGCCGCCGCCGUAA